rnacentral:lncRNA from 1 species
AGGGUCUCUCCCUCUGCUGUUCCUUCUGCUGCGUCCCAAGCUCGAGGCUGGCUGGCCUAGCUUCUCUGGACACUUCUGUUUCUAGCUGCCCUCCUGCCGGAGGAGUGUGAGGAUUGGAGAUGCAGCUCUGUCACCGAAUGCUUGCGUCUAAGAGCAUACUGCCUGAAGAUGACUUCACCUAGCUAACCAUAGAAGGGUGAGUGCCACAUACAACCAGUUGACAUUUCUCUAAUAACUCAGGACCAUAUACAAGAAAAUAAAGCAUGUCUUCUCGUUGUUUGGGAGACUACACAAUUCGAAGUAUCCCUUGUUCAAAAGGAAGAAGAACACUGUCCCUAAAGUGCUGUCUGGGACUGAGGGAAAAUGACAACAAACAAUUCGACCUUGCACUUACUUCAAGAUCCUCUACCCGGCACUGCCUUAAGAGCUCCAUUUCGGCACUAAGAUUAAAGUGCUGCAGCUCAAAACACAGCCUUGCCAACUUGGCUCCAGGGAAGGAGCAGCCAUUGGAACAAUGCAGGCAAUUUAAUCGUGUUGCAGAGAGGAGUAAGCCCAAGUCUGGAGGCUUAACUGGAAUGGAAUGCAAUUCCCUCGUCCCAGUAGGAUGAAUGAAAGUGGGGCUGAGGUGGACAAAAGACAACAUCCAAAAUGACAUAAAAAUUAACCACCCAACUCAAUGAAUUACCCACGAGAUAAUGGGAUAAAUGUUUGUGAGUCAGACCAAAGAGCAAAAACAGAACAGAAAGAAAGAAUUCUCAACUGUAGGCUGAAACCUUUCUACUUCGUUCUGUGAGGCAAAAUCUCAGUCUCUCUCUUUCCAUUUAAGUUCAGGUUUUAAAACUCGGUUGUUCUCUAUGGAAUUGAAGCCUGUGUAGACCAUUGUGUGUAGCUGUAUUUCAAAUACUGUUCUCUCUGUUAUCACUCAAACUCCUAGUUAUUCAGUUUGACCUGAAAUUAAAGAACAGAAUUGUUUCAUGCUUUAAAAUUACUUCCCAUUAUUUUAUAGAGAUAAAAACAAGUUAUAAAAAAAACCUUAGGUAUAAGCCAAGUUAGAGUUCAUAAUUAGAUUAGCAGAAUAAAAACCAUAGUCAUAUGUCUGUUCCCCUAUUU